AUGUAAUUCCUACAAUGGUAAUGUAGUGGGUCCCAUUAGAACUACAUAUUUAAGUGAGGUUGUGAUCGAGUAGUACUGGGAUCAGUGACCUCCUGGGAAUUCCUAGUGUUUUACAUG
rnacentral:rRNA from 1 species